UUUGUGUGUGGAUUAUUUGGCCUACCACAACCACCACCACCACCACCGGCGGACAACAUCAGCCCCACAUGCCUUCUUUUGCCGUGUCUGCGAUACUCCUCGAACAAGUUGUUGGAUAAACCGAGUCACUUGUUCCCUUCCACUCCACGCGAUGCUUUGCUCCUCUUGCAAGCUCAGAAGCUGUCCCCUUUGUCGUCUGCCUGCAGAUUCCACCUCCUCAUCCAGAUCCUGCGCAUCUCUCUCCUCACCAUCUCCUCCUCCUCCUCCUCCCAUCCAACACAAUCAUCAGCCCGAGGAAAAAGACGGGGAAAAAACCUGGUCCACUGCAACCCAUGCACUCUGAGCCCCACACUCUGUUGGAUUUUUGCUGCAGUUGGCUUAUAUAUGGAGGUACUACUAAUCGGAGGGUAAUGAUUGGUUUAACUUUGAUCUGGAAGUGGCGAUGGUCCACUGGUUUUGUACUAACACACUCGCGAAGCCAUCAUGAAGGCCCUCUUUUGCGUAUAACUAAGACUCCGGCAAGUAUAUUCUUGUUUCAUCUUAAUCGCUCGACAAAUACUUUUGGCAUGAUGAGAUCCACUACGGCUUAAUUCUUGCGGAUGUAAGGAAUUAAGAACAGAGCGCAAGUUGGCCGAGAAAACAAGGGGGAAUUAGCGUUGUGGAGGAUACGAACAGACGACGAAGGGCGACUGCAGGGGAGUUUUGUCGUUGGCAUGGACUUUAUCGUCUUGGGUUUGGGCAUCCAAGAUGUGCUCUUCAUCCUCCUAUUGUCCUCAUUCCUUUUGGGCAUCGAAUCUGGUGCGAUGCUGUUGCCACGCGUGGGAGAUUUCGGUGCUCAUGCGAGCGGGAUGAAAAAGGGAUCGGGGAUAGUCUGCGGGCUGCAAUGGCGUUGGACUUUCUGAAAGGUUAACGUGGAAAGUGAUUCCUCAGUCCUUAUCAACAGCUUUCGAGGAAGGCGAAGUUCCAUACACACACUUUUGUACUGUUUUCUUUAAUUGUCUCUUUGUUUUGUACAAAGCCUUGAUGAGAUUGUAGCGUGCAAUCAAUCCUCCAGCCAGAUUGUAAACGAGCUCGACCUCAUUCAUGUCUUCUUCACCUGCUGCCUCGAACCACAGUCGUCUUCUUCCCCUCACUGAACUUGCUCUGUUCCCUUCUGGUUUCUUUCCCUUUUGAUCUGCUUCUUUGAGCGUGCAAUUAUAGACAUCAGAUAAAAGGGCAUCUACAUCUCCCGAUCUUGGAUGUCGUCCACCAGCAAGUUUUUUAAAGCUCGAUACAAAAACGUGAUGCAUAUAUUCUCUUCAUACCACAGUUAUUUACCUGUGGCAGACAUCCACUAUCCAAUGGCAUAUCCUCUCAUUAUCGCCAUGGUUUUGGCCGACUGACGACAUUUAUGGAUGCACACCUUUACGGGAAUCUAAUUCUUUUGGCUGUUGCCGACAACUUUAACACGUUGGAGCUCACUGAGAUUGCUUUGCAGAUCCAAUCGCACUUUUCGGUGCACAUAUCCAUUGUGUCUCCGUGGAUGUAUAGAUUUCACAUCAUCAAGACGCCACUGUUUGUCCUUCGUUUCCUCGGCUCCGGAACCAAAUGGAUAAGCCUCCUCUUGUGUCCUAAUCAAAAGUGUUGAGAGCAUACCUGCAGUUGUGUCCACAGGUUGCAGACGGCAUGCAGAAGUAGCAGCAGCAACUAUGAAGGGUGAGCGACUGAGUCGAGUUGGAUCAGGAGGUGACUCUCUUACGAAGCCAUCAACAGACGCAUAAAGGCUUAUCGAAUCAAACAGGACACAAUACUAGGUAUUUCGAAGGCGAGAGAUUAUGACACUCCAAGUCAGUGGCUAAUCAAGUUCAUAUGAUGAGGUCAUCACGCCUUAUGUGGAUAGACACACUAUCUUAAUUAGACUCGAGCAAUUUUGAAGUCACCCAAGAGGUCAGUUCUUCCACCGGAUCAGGUGAUUAGUAUCGCUAGUUCUCAAAGAGUUUGCUUUUGGUAUAUCCAUCAGAACAUGUGUGAUCUAUGCAGUCUUGAUGUGAAGCUAAAUGCAAAUUACUUCAAAUGAACAAGUUUUCACCUUGUCAUAGAGGAGGAUAUCUAAUUGGCCAUGUCCACCUUAUGGGUUUAUAUUUCCUUCACUUGUUGCCUCUAGCAAGAAUUUUGCAUAAAGCCAGCAGGGACUUCACCACAGUAUAGUUGACACAAUAUAGCACAUAAUACUAGGGUAUGUGCACUAUAAUAAUUCUAAUCAGAGGCAACAUUUAUGUGCACACAAAAAUAUUGAACAAAAAUAUAAAACAAAAACUCACAGGCCAAUCAACAAAAAAUUGAAAGCUGAAGCAGCAUCCAAAUGUAAAUUCACAGGCCAAUCAACAAUGAUGUAAAACAAAACUCAGCAAAUUAAACAUUAAAAAAGGAAAAUAAAAAAAAUGCAUAAUAGCCAAUAAUGUAUGUUCUGAUCCAAGACUAUGCAAAGAGAAGGUAGACUUCUUCUCUCCUGAAGAAAGCCCACCUCCACAAACCACACAUGUAAAAGACAGAAGCAAUAAGAUAAAUAUAUUGGGGAAAGGCUUAGAAAAAGUUGCACUACGUGAACUCAAGACAUAUUUCUUCAAGUCUUACACAAAA